rnacentral:lncRNA from 1 species
CCACUUCUUCGUCAUGAUGUGGAAGUGGAUCACUAUCUUCCUUAAACUCUGAAGCUUUUGCAUCAAACUCCACCUGCUUGUCAACACCAUGAUCUACCAUAGUAUCCAAACACUCCUUUACAUGCUUCAACAUAGCUGACUCAUUACAAGUCACGUCCCUGUUAACAAUCAACUUGAAGCAUUUUGAAUCAGAACACCAUAAUCUGCGACCUUUCACUCCACUGCAUAUCUUAGAAAUAUGCACUUCUUUGCUCUUGGCUCAAGUUUACCAUCAUUUACAUGAGCAUACGCAGG